rnacentral:rRNA from 1 species
CGUGUAGGCGGUUGGUCAAGUCUGGUGUGAAAGCCCGGGGCUUAACCCCGGAAGUGCAUUGGAAACUAGCCAGCUAGAGCGCGAGAGAGGAGGGUGGAAUUCCUGGUGUAGCGGUGAAAUGCGUAGAUAUCAGGAGGAACACCGGCGGCGAAGGCGGCCCUCUGGCUCGUUGCUGACGCUGAAACGCGAAAGCGUGGGGAGCAAACAGGAUUAGAUACCCUGGUAGUCCACGCUGUAAACGAUGGGUACUAGGUGUUCGGGGUAUUGACCCCCUGAGUGCCGACGCUAACGCAUUAAGUACCCCGCCUGGGACUACGGCCGCAAGGUUAAA